rnacentral:lncRNA from 1 species
UAGUGACUCUGCAGCUUUUGCUAAUCUAACAGAAGAUGAUUAUUUGUGUACACCAAUUUGAAGCAUACUUAUUGCCUGGUAAAAAAAUGACAUUAUUUUUUGUCAUCGGUACGGCAGAUUUUUUUUAAGGGCAUUAUCUCCCCCUUUGGCGCGUUUUCUUCCCUGGAGGAAUCGUCUCUUUUCGGUCAUAUGGCAAUAAGACCAAAUAAUUGGCAUAUUGCCCUUUUGGUAUACCUAGUAAGUAAUUUCUAUUACAUAUAAUGAAUCACUGUUGAAUAAUUAUAGAUUAUUACAGGACAGUAAAGAGCAUGAACAAGUUUGUGGCAGUAGCCCAACAUCAAAUAUCAGCAAAAGAUGAAGUUCAGAAAAUAACAAUAUUUCAUACCACGGAAACUUCUGAGCAAUGCAUAUCAUUUUAAAUGCAAUGACUCUUUAAAAGAAUACUAUUUAAUAAAAACAUACAAGAAAUUAAAGAAAAAUGACUUACAUAAUGUAAUAUCACUCAGUCACCAUCGAAACCAAUAUAAUUACACAGAGAGAAGUCAAUAUGAAGUGGGAUGAAAGACAUAACGAGACAAGAGUAGGAGAUAUUUCAAAACAUAUAAAAUCAGUUGUCAUAUUGGCAAUUAUACCACAUCUCCUUCUUUG